GGGGGCCGGGCCACAGGACCUCCGCGGAGCGAGAGACAGCCGACCUCAGAGCAGGGCGCGCGGACCGGGCCCCGCCGAAGCCAGGCGCAGGAGGAGACUGCGGGGAGCGAGCGGGCCGUGCCGUGAGAAGGAGGAUGCAGAGGACUCUACAAUAUGAAAUAGAAAUGUGGUAUUUUGAAAAAGUAAAGGUAUCCUUUUUGAGAGACAACAUGGUGUAAUGGCAAGAGCAAGAGCCCAGAAGUAAAACCAACUGAGGAUAAAUCUUACCUCAACAAGGAAAAUAAGAGUUUUUUCCCUCAGACUCAUAGAGUUCAAGGCAUACUGAAGAUAAUCUUCCAGGGGCCUGUAAUGUGUGUUGUCUUCGAGCUGGCAAAGGAGUCCCUGAUGGGAAUAAUACUGUGAAACUGUUGGCUCCUGAUUCAUCGACUCCCUAAUAAGCAGAAAAAUGAUAUGCAUAUCCUCUGAUAUUUAUCAUUACAAUUAUAAAGUCACUCCUAUUAUAAAUAUAAUACUUAAUCCUUGUUGAUCAUCUAGAAACUACAGAUAGGCAAAGGAAGCAAAUGUGAUCCCUGAUCCCAACUUACUUCAUUUAAAAAUAAAUUGAAACGUAUCUCUC